rnacentral:rRNA from 1 species
GAUGAACGCUGGCGGCGUGCUUAACACAUGCAAGUCGAACGGAAAGGCUCCUGCUUUCAGGGGUACUCGAGUGGCGAACGGGUGAGUAACACGUGGGUGAUCUGCCCUGCACUUUGGGAUAAGCCUGGGAAACUGGGUCUAAUACCGGAUAGGACGAUGUGUUGCAUGGUAUUGUGGAGAGAUUUUCGGUGUGGGGUGAGCGCGCGGCCUAUCAGCUUGUUGGUGGGGUAAUGGCCUACCAAGGCGUCGACGGGUGGGCGGCCCGGGGGGGUGUACGGCCGAAAUGGGACCUAGGUACGGCCCAGGAUCCUACGGGGGGGAACCGUGGGGAAUAUUGGCCCAUGGGCGCGAGGCUGGUGCAGGGACGCCGCGGGGGGGAUGACGGGCUUCGGGUUGGAAAAUCCUUUCGCUAGGGACGAAGCGUUUUGUGACGGUACCUGGAGAAGAAGCACCGGCUAACUACGUG